GUGGGGAAUUUUGGACAAUGGGCGCAAGCCUGAUCCAGCAAUGCCGCGUGCAGGAAGAAGGCCUUCGGGUUGUAAACUGCUUUUGUACGGAACGAAACGGCUCUGGUUAAUACCCGGGGCUAAUGACGGUACCGUAAGAAUAAGCACCGGCUAACUACGUGCCAGCAGCCGCGGUAAUACGAAGGGUGCAAGCGUUAAUCGGAAUUACUGGGCGUAAAGCGUGCGCAGGCGGUUUUGUAAGACAGGCGUGAAAUCACCGGGCUCAAACUGGGAAUGGCGCUUGUGAGUGCAGAGCUGGAGUGCGGCAGAGGGGGAUGGAAUUCCGCGUGUAGCAGUGAAAUGCGUAGAUAUGCGGAGGAACACCGAUGGCGAAGGCAAUCCCCUGGGCCUGCACUGACGCUCAUGCACGAAAGCGUGGGGAGCAAACAGGAUUAGAUACCCUAGUAGUCC
rnacentral:rRNA from 1 species